rnacentral:rRNA from 1 species
AUGCUGACCAGCAAGUACGCCGCCGGCAUGGCCCGUCCCUCAAGUCCACGACGCUUCUUCUCUGAUAACUCUCUUGCCUUCUUUUCUGAUGCAGCAGCCCCGCCGCCCACCACCUACUCCUCCUCCCCGGCAUUUCCUCGCCGCCGAAGCCGCCCUUCCCCCAAGUCUGCGACGCCUCUCCUGCAUCCUCCUCUGAUGCAGAAGCCCCAGCACCUUCGCCUCCUCUCCGCUGUCUCCACCGACGCCGACCUUCGCGUAUGCCGGCUAUGCGCUACACAUCAUCGGCGGCGGCUGGGCUCCUUCCACGCCUACGUGCUACAGGUUCUUCCAAUUAGAGUACGAGCUACUCCCCGAGGACUGCUUUGUUGUGUGCAAUUGGAGCGCCACCCACGAGCUCCACACUCGCGUUCUCCUCCAAUUGACUCCAUCUGGAAGAUGGCUGGUCUGGUGCGAUGUUGGCGUGGAGGAGCUAUGCUCUGCUAUUGCCAUCUAAUAUGUUUCGUCAAGAACCAAGGCAAUUAUGUAGGUGGGCAGAUGGAGAUGUACCGUGCUUCAAAAAUUAUUCCCUGGCGUGAUCUAAGAUCACAGGCUGUGCUAGAAAUUUUGGAGGUCUGGUGUGGGGGCAGUUGUCGCAUCUUUUACAAUUUCACAAUUCGGAGUUAUCAGUUGUGA